CAAAGGUAGCGUAAUCACUUGUCUUAUAAAUAAAGACCUGUAUGAACGGCUAAAUGAAUAUUUAACUGUCUCCUUUAACUAAUCAGUGAAACUGAUCUUCCAGUACAAAAGCUGAAAUAAAGACAUAAGACGAGAAGACCCUGUGGAGCUUUAAAUUUUUAUCAAAAUAUACAUGCCCUAUAUUUAUGAUUAAUUAUUUUGAGUUGGGGCGACUUUGGAGUAAAACUCAACCUCCAAGAAAAGGUAAAACCUAAACAAGGCCUACCAGCCAACCACAUAGACCCAGUACUACUGAUCAACGAACCAAGUUACCCCAGGGAUAACAGCGCUAUCUUCUUCAAGAGUUCAUAUCGACAAGAAGGUUUACGACCUCGAUGUUGGAUCAGGACACCCAAAUGGUGCAGCCGCUAUUAAAGGUUCGUUUGUUCAACGAUUAACAGU
rnacentral:rRNA from 1 species